AAUAAUGUGACAGUGGUAGUUUAGUUGUAUUUAAGAGAUAAAUAGGAAUUGGUAUUACUGACUUAUUUGGCUAACUAUCAGAUGAUUUCUUGUCUUUUUCCUGUUUCUUUUUGGAAUAAAGGUUGUGUGAUUCAAUACAGGUAAGGACGUGAUAAAAGGAGAGUGAAUUAAAUGUCUGAUAGAUCAUAUGUAUUAUGUUGACUUUACCCACUGCUCCAUAUGUUUCUCAAAAUUGUCAUGGCGUCUAUGGCGAUUUUCACUACGUCACAGGAGGACGCUCAAAAUGAAAAGUUUCUAUUUCUCUUUCAUCUGAGCACUGUAUCGACGUCGUGAUGAACCCGUCUAAGAUGUCUAACUUCAUCCAUACUCUACGAAAAUGUUCUUCUCUUCGACCUCCCGAAUACCUUUAAUUUUAAUCAGGAGGUGGACAUUCGAUACUGUAACCAUUUCAUUUCGAAAUUUAUUAAUGGAUUCAGCAUAUUUGUUUUGCCCAUAAAUUUACAAGUUUUCCCAUGAGAUCCUCCAAGUUUUUCUAUCCACCCUGCGACUAUCAAAGAUUUUGCCCUUUGCAAAAUUGUAUUUCUAAUAUUAUUAUUUUUUAAAGAUUCUAAGGUCAUGGUUGACGGAGGAAUUGCCAUAUGGGAGGGUUGUUUCAGUUUGGUCUUUGAUUAUGCUCU
rnacentral:lncRNA from 1 species